AUGCCACCGGAUGGCCACACGCGCAAGCAACCGACAACUCCGACUUUGACGACGAGCCUCACCAGUGAAAUAUGCAGGACUUGCGCCGACCAUGCCCUAAGAGCACCUCGGACACGCCGGGAAGAACCGUCUAUCGAAGUCCACGCCGCGACCCGAGCUCCUCUCGACGCCAUCAUCGUUGCCAAACAGAAACCAGCGCCCUGCCUCAGCAAACCACACGGCAAAGAUGCCGCCAACCACGGCGAAGAUGCCGCCAUCCACCAGUCUCCCAGUCGUAGCCGGCUCCGAGACGAUGCCCCCAAGGAGGAGAAAGACGCGAAGACGCCUCCAUCGCCCGAACCAGCGGAUCUGAGGUUUCCCUCCGAAGCCCAAGCCGUGGGGAGGAGGAGCACACCUUCACGACGACGCUUCCAAGAAAAAUCACGGCACCCUCGGGCACCGCCGUCGCCGGCUCCGAAGAAGGCCAGAGCAAAGAUUUCUCCCGAAGAUGCACCGACCACCCGCCACCACCGACCGCCGCCCACCCUCCACCACCUGCUGAGGCCGACCUCAUUCUGGCCGCGGGAUCCCACGAUCCACCGCGACCAGACACGCACCAUCCCCUGGCCGAAGCCGCCGUCCACCACCGCAGCACCACCAUGGCUACCACCACCGCAGCGACCAAAGCCACAUCGCGAAGCGCAGCAUCCAGAUCGAUGCACCUCGCAUCAGAUCCAAUCGGAGCUGCUCAGGCGAAGAAGCAGAGCAGCCAGCAGGCAGUCCCUCCAUAGCACACCUCGCACCCUAGACAAGCCCACCCGCCACGCUCAGCCGGUCACCCCGCCCGCCGCGCGCCUUCCGCCGUCGCGCCAGGCCGGUCACCGCGCCCCACGCGCACUAGCCAGAACCGAGCCGCCGCCGGGCGCACGCACGCCGUCCACGCCCAAGCCACGCUGGAGCCCGGGCCGAGGCCGCCGCCCCGGCGUCCCUUCCGCCGUCCGCAACCGACGCCAGAUGCGCGCCGCCGAGCCGUCACCCCACGGCGCCAGAGCCGCCGCUGCAGGCCGGCCACGCCUGCACACCACCAGAUCCGGGCGGGAGGGCCCUGGAUCCGUCGCCCCCGCCGGAGGAGAGGAGCUCCAGCCCGCCGGCGAAGGGCUCGCGACGACCAUGCGCUGGCGCCGCACGAGCCAGCCACGGGCUACCCGCGCCCUGGAGAAGAAGCCCCGCCGCCGCCGCUGCCACACGGGCUUUGCCCGGCGGAGCAUCCCGGCGGCGGCGAGGGGGGAGGACGACGGCGGAAGCCGCUGCCGUCAAUAUUAUUCUGCUCAUAAUCACUUACUUUUAGUUAGCACGAACACUUGUGAACUGUCUUACACACCGGCUACCUUUGACUGCCUGAUGAAGACCUAUGGAUUCCUCACCCCUGACUUCUGGAGGGAGACAACCUUCACCAAGGCGCCAUACCAGGAGUUCACCGACAUCUUGGUGAAGCCGACCAAGGCCCUGAUGCUUGAUGCACCAGUCGAGAAGAUAGAAGCUUAG
rnacentral:rRNA from 1 species